UUUACACAUGCAAGUCGAGCGGCAGCGCGGGGGCAACCCUGGCGGCGAGCGGCGAACGGGUGAGUAACACAUCGGAACGUACCCUAUCGUGGGGGAUAACGAAUCGAAAGAUUCGCUAAUACCGCAUACGACCUGAGGGUGAAAGCGGGGGAUCGCAAGACCUCGCGCGAUUGGAGCGGCCGAUGUCGGAUUAGCUAGUUGGUGAGGUAAAGGCUCACCAAGGCGACGAUCCGUAGCUGGUCUGAGAGGACGACCAGCCACACUGGGACUGAGACACGGCCCAGACUCCUACGGGAGGCAGCAGUGGGGAAUUUUGGACAAUGGGGGCAACCCUGAUCCAGCCAUUCCGCGUGAGUGAAGAAGGCCUUCGGGUUGUAAAGCUCUUUCGGCAGGAACGAAACGGUGGAGGCUAAUAUCCUUCAUCAAUGACGGUACCUGAAGAAGAAGCACCG
rnacentral:rRNA from 1 species